AUGUUUUUUCCAAUUUUAUCCUUCCCAUCAACACAUCAGAACUCUAAAGUUAAGCGUGGUUAGAUGAGAGUAGUAUUAGGAUGGGUGACUCCCCGGGAAGUCCUCGUGUUGCAAACC